AAAAGACGAUAGCCAAUUUAUUGGCUAAUUCGAAUUUGUCUGUACAAUUCAUAAAAUUCUUUCUUAUUUCUUAUUGUUGAAAUCCAAAAUUAAAGUCUCUUGGCUCUCUUCACGCUUUCUCACAAACAGAUUAAAAAAUAGAUUUUUAUUUUUGAAGUUUGGAUAAACCAUUGCUUCGUCUGGUGUCUACAAUACAUAUAACUCAUUAUAGUACUAAUUUCAUUUUUACCAGAUCGAAAAAUUUUAUGUUGAAAAGAAAAAUUUAUAGAUCCAAUGUCAU
rnacentral:rRNA from 1 species